rnacentral:lncRNA from 1 species
CAUUAAAUUGAAUUAAAUUAAAAAAAAUGGUAGAAAAUGGAGAGGAUUCACUCCCACCUCCCCCAAUGAGAGUCCCACUCCAACUACCCACUCCAAAAAUAGGUGGGGCCCACAGAAUGGGAUUCCUAAUCCUUCCCCAAUUUAGUGAAGUAAACACUGGAGUGGGAGGAAUACGCACUCCUCACUUCCACUUUAGAAAGUAAACACAACAAUAGUAUAUUUAUUUUCCGGAUUAGAGAAUCAGAAGUUAGAAUUGGAAUAAUUGACAGCGUUUACUUCGCAAAUAUGGAGCAGGAAUCGGAAUUAAAAUAAUGAGAUCCACUACUAUUUGGGAAUAGAAAAUGAGAGAUUGAUUUCCAUAGAGAAUGUGAGAAUGAGUCUCUCAUUAUCAGAAUGAGCAGUGCUACGGUCAGUCGCCCAAUCGGACGACUGACUCACUCGCUCUUUGUGAGUUGGAUAUGUGUCCAUUAGUCUUUCUUUCUUUAAAUCACAAUAAAUAACUAUUGUCUCGUUGUUAAUAAAAUAUUUAGUUAUACUGUUUACCCACCUUACUUCUUCAUUUUUUAUUUCGCUUAAUUGCCCUUGGUUUCUCCGUACAGACCAUAUACCAGAUUCCACCUACUUCCACUUUCAAAAGCACAAAAGUUGCAGGGGCAUUUUUAGAUGAAAAUUUUAUUUUGAAAUUAUCAUCUCAACAGCCGCCAUCAAGAAAUUGUUUGGAGAAGCCACAAGCCUUUUUAGGUAAUGCCUUUUACCUUUCCUUUAUAAAAUGUG